rnacentral:rRNA from 1 species
UUGAACGCUGGCGGCAGGCCUCACACAUGCAAGUCGAGCGGAUGAAGGGAGCUUGCUCCUGGAUUCAGCGGCGGACGGGUGAGUAAUGCCUAGGAAUCUGCCUGGUAGUGGGGGAUAACGUCCGGAAACGGGCGCUAAUACCGCAUACGUCCUGAGGGAGAAAGUGGGGGAUCUUCGGACCUCACGCUAUCAGAUGAGCCUAGGUCGGAUUAGCUAGUUGGUGGGGUAAAGGCCUACCAAGGCGACGAUCCGUAACUGGUCUGAGAGGAUGAUCAGUCACACUGGAACUGAGACACGGUCCAGACUCCUACGGGAGGCAGCAGUGGGGAAUAUUGGACAAUGGGCGAAAGCCUGAUCCAGCCAUGCCGCGUGUGUGAAGAAGGUCUUCGGAUUGUAAAGCACUUUAAGUUGGGAGGAAGGGCAGUAAGUUAAUACCUUGCUGUUUUGACGUUACCAACAGAAUAAGCACCGGCUAACUUCGU